AAAAAACAUGGAUAAGGGGCUACAUAUAUACUAAUUCUGCACAUAAGAAGGCGUGACUAUGGUCAAUGAGUAGAUUUCAGAUGAAUUAUUUACUUAAGUGUUUUUUGCAAAUGCUCUUAAAAAAUCAGCUGCACAUAGGCCAACAGGAUGUAGAUGAAACUGCUAUAAAGAAACAUGUGUCACAUGGCAUAGGGUUAGUCAUGGUUGUUGACUUACAUUUUCAACAGGAAAGGUAGAAAACAAGAAUUUUUUGUUGCCUAUUAAGAAUUUUCCAAAGGAUAGGAUGACAUAAAGAAAUGGAUUCUCUGCCCCUUUUUGCAGGGAAAUCCUCCACAGAAAGAACUGUCACUGGGUGCUUGGGAAAUGUUGGGUUUGAUUGCAGCACAAAAGUUAAAAAGGGAAGAAAUAUGCAAUAAAUUUCGCAUGAAGAUAACUUCAUUCACAGAAAGAAGCAAGACCUCCAUCAUUGCCUCCACUUUUUGUGACUUUAACAAGGACACAACUCCACUUGGCAGAGCUUUCUCCAUCCACCAAUUCCCCGAGAACUCAGCGGGAAGACCAGGCUGUGUGGUCUGGGAUAAGGGCAGAGAAGGAAAAUGUCUUGUGUCUAGUUCUAUCAAAUUUAGUUACCUGGACAUAGAGCUCCGUGAAGAUUAAAGUUACAUCAGACUUAGUCUCUCUUCUCACUGGUGCUCAGAACUGAUUUCUAGGGUCUGCUAGGGGACAAGGGCCAUGACUCCCCUUUCAUUCUGCUCAACUGGCUCUUAGUUAUUGGUGGCUCUGACCUUGAAAAAGUCCCUUUUCUUUCUGAUAAAAAUACAAAGUCAGCAUACGCAUUGACUCUUUUUAAAAAUAUAUAUAUUUUAUUGAAUUUUUGAAGAUAGAGUGAUAGAGAGAUGGGAACAUCAAUGAAAAACAUCAUUGAUCAGCUGCCUCCUGCACACCCCUCAUAGGGGAUUGAGCCCGCAACUCAGGCAUGUGCCCUGACUGAGAUUCAAACCAAUGACCUCUUGGUUCCUGGCUCAGUGCUCUGCCAUGAGCUGCACCAGCUGGGCACACAUUGACUCUUGAGGUCAUAUGCCUCAGGUGGACCAAUGGCCAUCAGUUUUCCAAAUGAAAAUCCAGAUCAAAACCAGAUGGGACAGUCUGCUCCCACAGGUCAUUCACCUUCAUAAAUCAUCAGUUCAUGCUAUUGGCCUCCUUAGCUUUUGAAAUUUCAUUUAGCCAGUCAAAAUAUUUAUGCUUACUAUUUCUACUAUUGUAUGAAUUAUAAAUAUUUAAUCUUCAAGUUAUUUGAAAGUAAUAUGAGCAAUAAUUAACAAAAAUUAAAUGCACUACUAUGGUGUGUGGGCAUUAUUUAUUAACUUUCAAAUGUGAUUAUGUGUCACCUUAUUUUUAUUAGUUGGAAGAAGCUAUAGAUGUUUUGUGGAGUGAGGGAGGUUCAGGAGGAUACUGAAUUCUCAAGCCUUGAGUUAAAGUUACUCACAUAGAAUAUUCAAUAUUGACUUUAGAAGUGUGAAGUAUGUUUUCCUGCAGUUUCUAAUGUUUAUAACUUUCAACAGAUGUUGACAGUUGCUCAUAAUACAGAAAGUUAAAUAAUUGCUAUCCAAGCAUAGACAAAUGAAUUGGUUGUCUUUAGCGGAUUCCUGUGUUUCAUUCUAAGACGAAUUACAAAAUCAACUUUCACAAAAGGACUAGUCAUUUUUCUGUUAAACUGCUUGUGAGCUAGGCUUUCACUUUUGGACAGUUAGGUAGAAUAGAUAUUCUGAAACUUCCUUCUUCUACAUACAGCGAGAAUUGACAUAAAAUAUAAUUUUGUGAACUGCCAAGAUUUUUAAGAAAUAAGGAAAAUUCCAAAAGUUAAAAACAAAACAAA